GAAGAAGAGAAAGAUCCGCCAUGCUGGAAAAAGGAGAACUAAGAUGCCACACCCGAGAAGCUCAGGACAGAGAACAUAGCCGCCAUAUUGGAGGGACUCCAUCCAAUAAAGGCAAAUAAAGAGAGCCUGAAAGUAUAGCUUGGCACCUACGCAGCAAGCCACUCCUGUCUACAGUGCUCAUGAACCUUCCAGAAUCAUGGAGAAGACCUGCCGUGCAUGGCCCUUAUUGCAAACUGAAAGUGUUUCGAGGCCCAAGGUGGAAAGAAAAAAAAAAGAAGAAAGCAAACCUGGGAAACACAGAAUUCAUUCAGCCCCUUGUAGUCCCGCACUUUGGUCACAGAGGAAACAUCCCCUGACAGCCUGGUGUUCGAAUCUAAUGUGGUCAAAGCAAACUAUGGAGCCGGACCUAUGCAAAUCUCUACAGAAACUCGAGGUUUGCUUCUGCCACAUCUGGGUCUCCCGAGGUCGGAGAGGAUCGUCUUUAAUAUUCCUUGGUAGAUUCCAGGAUCCUACAAGCCACAACCUCUUCGCCGUAUUUCCCAGGAGCAGCCCCCAUCCAUGGUUUGGAGGACUCGACCCUAUGGAGCGCCCUGGCCUGGAGGUGUGCAGGUUAGAAGGAACCCCAGCUGUGGCACCUCACUAUCCUUCUCUUUCCCGACCCGUUCAAAAAUAAAAAAAUAAACCCCAA
rnacentral:lncRNA from 1 species